rnacentral:rRNA from 1 species
GGUAGUUGGUGAGGUAAUAGCUCACCAAGCCUACGACGGGUAGCCGGCCUGAGAGGGUGACCGGCCACACUGGAACUGAGACACGGUCCAGACUCCUACGGGAGGCAGCAGUGGGGAAUAUUGCACAAUGGGCGCAAGCCUGAUGCAGCAACGCCGCGUGAGGGACGACGGCCUUCGGGUUGUAAACCUCUUUUAGUAGGGAAGAAGCGAAAGUGACGGUACCUGCAGAAAAAGCACCGGCUAACUACGUGCCAGCAGCCGCGGUAAUACGUAGGGUGCAAGCGUUAUCCGGAAUUAUUGGGCGUAAAGAGCUCGUAGGCGGUUUGUCGCGUCUGCUGUGAAAACUGGGGGCUCAACCCCCAGCCUGCAGUGGGUACGGGCAGACUAGAGUGCGGUAGGGGAGAUUGGAAUUCCUGGUGUAGCGGUGGAAUGCGCAGAUAUCAGGAGGAACACCAAUGGCGAAGGCAGAUCUCUGGGCCGUUACUGACGCUGAGGAGCGAAAGCAUGGGGAGCGAACAGGAUUAGAUACCCUGGUAGUCCAUGCCGUAAACGUUGGGAACUAGAUGUAGGGGCCAUUCCACGGUUUCUGUGUCGCAGCUAACGCAUUAAGUUCCCCGCCUGGGGAGUACGGCCGCAAGGCUAAAACUCAAAGGAAUUGACGGGGGCCCGCACAAGCGGCGGAGCAUGCGGAUUAAUUCGAUGCAACGCGAAGAACCUUACCAAGACUUGACAUAUACGAGAACGGGCUAGAAAUAGUUCACUCUUUGGACACUCGUAAACAGGUGGUGCAUGGUUGUCGUCAGCUCGUGUCGUGAGAUGUUGGGUUAAGUCCCGCAACGAGCGCAACCCUCGUUCUUUGUUGCCAGCACGUAAUGGUGGGAACUCAAAGGAGACUGCCGGGGUCAACUCGGAGGAAGGUGGGGAUGACGUCAAAUCAUCAUGCCCCUUAUGUCUUGGGCUUCACGCAUGCUACAAUGGCCGAUACAAAGGGCUGCAAUACCGCGAGGUGGAGCGAAUC